AGGAAAAGGAGAGAGAAGAAAAGGGGGGGGAGGGGGGAGAAAAACCACUUAAAAAGCCAAAAAGGAGAAAAAAAGCCAAAAAAAAGAAGGAAAAAGCCCAAAAAAAGGGGAAAAAAAAAACCAGCUCAAAAUCUGUUUGUGUCCUUAGAAGCCUCCAUAAAUAUUUAUUGAGUACUUUUGGGGACACAGAUGCAGAGUUUGGGUUUGAGUUUUUGGACCUCUCUCUCUCUCUCUUUCUUUUGAAUACCUCAGAGCUCUUUCAAAAGGAUAAACAGAAGUGAAAAGCACCCAAAGAAACAAAAAACAGCCCCAAAACACCCCUCCCCCCCCCCCCAAAUAAAAUAAAGCCAAGCCGACUUUGGAGGCUCCUCAAAGUCACUGCUACAAAUCUCUCUGCCUGGCAGGUGCUUGCCCCCAAAAGGCAUCUUCGAGGUUGUUUUUGGGUUGAAUUUUGCUUCUCGUUUCCAAGUGAAGAAAUAGAGGUGGGGAGGGGGGGGGAGAAGACUUCUAUAUGCAAACCAAACUAAACUCCAACCCAGGUUUUGCUUUAGCUCAGCAAAGAGAAUGUUUGGGUUUGAAGCUCAGCCAUAUCUCUGUGUGUGUGUGGGUGGUUUUUGGGGUGUCUUUUGUUUUAAAAGCAGCUUAAAUCUGAAAGAGAGAGAGAGAGAGAGAGAGAGAGAGAGAGGAGGGCAUCAAGUUCUGGGAUGUCCUGAAGGGAGGUUGUAGCCAGGUGGGGUAGGGCUCUGCUGCCAGGCAUGGAGCAAGAUGGGACAGCCUCAAAUUGUGCCAGGGCAGGUUCAGGCUAUGGUUUCCUGAAGGGAGGUUGUAGCCAGGUGGGGUUGGGCUCUGCUGCCAGGCACCCAGGGAUGGAGCAAGAGGACACAGCCUCAAGCUGUGCCAGGGCAGGUUCAGGCUAUGAUUUCCUGCAGGGAGGUUGUAGCCAGGUGGGGUUGGGCUCUGCUGCCAGGCAUGGAGCAAGAGGACACAGCCUCAAGCUGUGCCAGGGCAGGUUCAGGCUAUGAUGUCCUGAAGGGAGUAGCCAGGUGGGGUUAGGCUCUGCUGCCAGGCACCCAGGGAUGGAGCAAGAGGACACAGCCUCAAGCUGUGCCAGGGCAGGUUCAGGCUAUGAUGUCCUGAAGGGAGGUUGUAGCCAGGUGGGGUUGGGCUCUUCUGCCAGGCAUGGAGCAAGAUGGGACAGCCUCAAACUGUGCCAGGGCAGGUUCAGGCUAUGGUUUCCUGAAGGGAGGCUGUGGCCAGGUGGGGUUGGGCUCUGCUGCCAGGCACCCAGGGACUGAACAAGAGGACACAGCCUCAAGCUGUGCCAGGGCAGGUUCAGGCUGGAUGUUAGGAAGAAGCUCUUCCCAGCAAGAGAGAUUGGCAUUGGAAUGAGCUGCCCUGGGAGGUGGUGGAGUCCCCAUGCCUGGAGGUGUUUCAGAGGAGGCUGCAUGAGGCACUCAGUGCCAGGGGUUAGGAGCUGUUAGCUGCUAGGUUGGACUCGAUGAUCUCAGAGGUCUUUUCCAGCCUGGUUCACUCUGUGACUCUAAGUGCAAGUCCUGUGUCUGCAGCAGGGCACUUGAAUCCAAGCUGGCUCUGGUCAGCUUUUCUUUUUGAGGAGCCAUCUUUCUAUUAACCAUUAGCUGAAUGGAUACACUUUGGGGGGGGGAGGGAGAGGGAGGGGGUUGUAUUUUUAUAUAUAUACAUAUAUAUAUAUAUAAUCUAAAUUAUGGGAUGCUUCAAGCAGAACUGUUCCUUGUCUCUACAUCUCUCCUGUAAAGUGAUUUCUUUGUGUGUGUGUGUCUUGGUUCUGGGUGAUCUCCCUCUUGGCAGCAGACAACUUUUCAUGGCUAAAACUUAUUGGAGGACGUUCCAAACAAUCAACCAACAAACCACCCUGAAGGUUUUGGGGGGGAGGGAUUUGGUGCUUGGAAGUGGAGGAGAGGAGAAGGGGGGAGGGAGGGGAGGGGAUAAAACCUAACCCAAAAGGCAUGGUUGGAAGCAUGAAGUUCUAUUUUUCCUGGGGACACACACACCUAUGAACACUCUGUGCCAUGCCUUGAGGAAGAGGGUGGGAGGGGAGGGGGGAGGAAAAAAGGGGAGGUGGGGGGGAAAAGAGAGGGGGAGAUGUCUAUAAAUAGAAAUCUUAUCUAUAUAUAUAUAUAUCUAUUUUAUUUUUGGCUUGGUUUGAACUGCCACCAGUGAGCACGGCAAGAGAUGGGGGGGUGGGGGUGGAGGGGGGGUUAAAGGGGAGGGUGGGGAGAGAGGGAGUUGUGCCAUUGCCAGCUCUGGAAUCCACAGAGCCUUCCCCCUGCCAUGGUUGGGGUUGAGGUUUGUUGUUUGUUUGGGGGUUUUCUCUUUUGGUUGCCUUGGAAUGCUUUGUUAAUUAAACCGACUCUGAACAGUG